UUGGUGCCUUUCCUGAGCUGCAGUCUCAGAGCCCCUUUCCCUCUGUCUGACCUGCUUACAUGCUCCCCCUGCUCCCCUAAGCGCAGGUCUUCAGGCCACUUUAUUUUUGGGUAUAUUCCUCUAGAACACCAGCCUGGGAACCCACAGCACCUACAAACAGAACGUGCACAUGCUGAGCCCUUGAUUACCUUGGGUGAAGAAAUGAACCCUGUUUUCCUAACUAGAUAUCAAGUCCUAAGCAACAGAACACACCUGCUUAGCUUCUGUCCCCAGCACAGGGCUGGGCACACUGCAGGACUUCCUCCCCUACCCACUGGACACUCCCACCCCUGCCUCCAGCUGCUCAUUAUAAACCCCCCAGACUAGCACCCAUGAUCCUCGGCCCUGCUGCCAGAAUUCACUUGUGCCAUGAUUGUUAAUAUGGCCCUUCCUUUUUCUCUCUGAAUCAACAUUAGCUUUGCUAACUCCCUUCCCUCCACCUGAUAAGGAUGGGGUAACGGCAUCUGGACAAACUUGGGGUGUGCUUUUCUUGCCUUGUCAGAACAGCAGCUCCUAUCUGGCUGGCGAUGGGCUGAGAGCCAGCCCCCAACAAUGGAGGCCUUGUGAGCCGGCCUUGGGGGUGUGCUGUGAGCCUGCAAUUCAGCACACACACAGCCCUUCCGGGUGCCACCUUCUUAUCUCCUGCCGCCGAGCGCUUGCCAGUGUUGGGGGUGUAACCCAAGCCCUGUAAUUGCAUGUCCUGAUAGAGCAUUGCUGGGCUUGGGCCACCACUGUACAUUGUACCCCAGUGAGAGUGCUGGGGAUUGUCACCAUAUACCGUGGCUCUCCUGUCCGGGGAGCCUCUGGCUCGGUGUCCUCCACUCUUCUCCCAGGGGUCUUGGACUGACUAGGAAAACCAUAGCACAAGGCGGGCGGUCUCAGCUUCCCACACCUCAGAAUCAGUGUGCUGGGGGACCCCCCUACUCCAGUCCAGUCACAAAGAAUGGUUUCUCUUUCCUGUGCAUCCCCUCACCCCCAGCCUACUGCGUGCUGUUCUUAGUCUCCCUUUCUCUGCACUCCUCCACCUCUCUCAUUCUGCAUGCCCUUGUUAUCUUCAGCUUUAUCCUGCCUUCUUUCUUGGGCUCUCCCCCUCCAUAGGGCCAGCCUCUCUUUCCAUUUUCUUCCUUCUCUCUGGGUCUUCUGCCACAGAAGGAGCUUGGAGGGCAACUCUGCUGUUCCCAAGACUCUGACCUCUCCGAAAGCUCUAAGAUGCAGUGGGGGGAGCAGUUAACUCCAAGGACCCCUCCCACUCACCCCAAAAACACCAUCCUGGCUCACCAGGCACCCCCUCCCCCCAGGGCUGUGAGCUCGGAACAGUGCCUGGGACGCAGUGCACUAUGGGACUGAAAAGACCCUGGCCCUCCCCAAACUUCCUGUUCGAGAGAGAAAAAUGGGUGCUGAACAAGUCUUCAGGUGGCAAGUGCUGUGAUGAGUGACAGUGAGGUCUCAUCUGGGACUUCCCCAGUGGAAAAGAAGAAUUGGUUUCUUUGCACUGGGACCAUUUGUUUCCAGUAGACCCCUCGUCACCACGUCGUAUUCAGUUUCGUUUGCAGGUUUUGAGAGGAUGGCUCUGUUUGCCAUUAACAACCAACAAUAAGAGAAAGUGAGCACGCGGAGACAGGGGAGCCCAUCGGAAUAACACAGGAAGUGGCGAUGAAGGCCCGGCAUCAUGCGGGUGAUGGAAAAAAUGGAGGGAAGGACCGAUUCAAGAGCAUCAGGGUGGUAGAAUCGGAGCUAGUUUGAAUACUUCUCCAUGUGACUGAAAGAGACAAUCCAAUAAAGCUAACACCGCAUCCUAGAGGUGUCAGGUGGGCCUUCUGGAACAAAGACAUGCAGGCGUGGAGGAAGUCAGGUUCUGAGGAGGGACAGACAAAUGAGACCUUGGCUGGAGAUGGACAUGACGGAAUCAAAGGACACGGGACUCCAACAUUCACCUUUGCUUUCUUUCUCAAGUUUCUACCCUCCAGAAUGAAGUGCUGGCAAGGGCUGGGGCAUAAAUCUCAGAGAGAAGCUGCAAGUGAAAGAUGGCAAACCAGCAGAUGGAAGAAGCUACCAUAUCACUCCUAAAUUGCCUUCCCAGGCUUUAC